AUCCCAGAUAAAGCUGUUUGUAUUUAUCUGAUUCAUGGGAGGCAAAAAGUGACAGGAAAUUUCGCUGAUAAGCACCCCUCUUAAUCUUCUAGGAGGUGUUUACUAGUUGCUUUCCACACAUAU
rfam:Cicer arietinum chromosome Ca1, whole genome shotgun sequence.